rnacentral:rRNA from 1 species
AAAAUAUCCUGCUCAAUGAUUUUUUAAAUUGCUGUGGUAUUUUGACUAUACAAAGGUAUUGAAAUAAGAUUUUAAUUGAAUGCUAAGAGAAUGGAAGUCCAGAAAAAAACUUUUUUUAAAUUAAAAAUUGAAGUUUUUUUAAUUUGUGCAGAAACAAUUAUUUAUAUUAAAGACAAGAAGACCCUAUGAAUUUAUUAAAUUUUUAUUUAAUAUGUAAUUACUAUUAGAAAAAUUUUGGCUGGGGCGGCUAGAAAAUAUUAUGAACUUUUUAAAAAUAAAAUGAUCCAUUAUUAAUGAUUUUAUGUUAAAUACUCUAGGGAUAACAGCGUAAAGCAGAA